GAUGAACGCUGGCGGCGUGCCUAAUACAUGCAAGUCGAGCGAACAGACGAUGAGCUUGCUCCUCUGACGUUAGCGGCUGACGGGUGAGUAACACGUGGAUAACCUACCUAUAAUACUGGGAGAACUUCGGGAAACCGGAGCUAAUACCGGAUAAUAUAUUGAACCGCAUGGUGCAAUAGUGAAAGACGGUUUUGCUGUCACUUAUAGAUGGAUCCGCGCCGCAUUAGCUAGUUGGUAAGGUAACGGCUUACCAAGGCGACGAUGCGUAGCCGACCUGAGAGGGUGAUCGGCCACACUGGAACUGAGACACGGUCCAGACUCCUACGGGAGGCAGCAGUAGGGAAUAUUCGGCAAUGGGCGAAAGCCUGACGGAGCAACGCCGCGUGAGUGAUGAAGGUCUUCGGAUCGUAAAACUCUGUUAUUAGGGAAGAACAAAUGUGUAAGUAAAUAUGCACGUCUUGACGGUACCUAAUCAGAAAGCCACGGCUAACUACGUG
rnacentral:rRNA from 1 species